rnacentral:rRNA from 1 species
GACGAACGCUGGCGGCGUGCUUAACACAUGCAAGUCGAACGGAAAGGCCCUGCUUUUGUGGGGUGCUCGAGUGGCGAACGGGUGAGUAACACGUGAGUAACCUGCCCUUGACUUUGGGAUAACUUCAGGAAACUGGGGCUAAUACCGGAUAGGAGCUCCUGCUGCAUGGUGGGGGUUGGAAAGUUUCGGCGGUUGGGGAUGGACUCGCGGCUUAUCAGCUUGUUGGUGGGGUAGUGGCUUACCAAGGCUUUGACGGGUAGCCGGCCUGAGAGGGUGACCGGCCAAAUUGGGACUGGGAUACGGCCCAGACUCCUACGGGAGGAAGGAGUGGGGAAUAUUGCACAAUGGGCGGAAGCGUGAUGCAGCAACGCCGCGUGCGGGAUGACGGCCUUCGGGUUGUAAACGGCUUUCGCCUGUGACGAAGCGUGAGUGGCGGUAAUGGGUAAAGAAGCACCGGCUAACUACGU